CUGAUGUUUUAAAUGUUCUCAGAAUCCACAUGUAAAUCUUUGUCUACGGGAGAAAGCUCAAAAUAAACAAAAGAGAGAGCAGCUGGAACACUUGUGGAAGGACAUGGGCAGCGUGUGUGUGCAGGGCAGCACACUGGCAGGACCUGAUGCUUCUGCAAUGGGUCCCUCUGAGCUAAUACUAACAUGAGGAACUCUCGAUGAAGAGCAAGAAGAGAGGGAGAGUGACGCUGAUGGCAUUGACCACGAAGGUAAGGGAAUGAGGUCUAAAAGCUGCCUCUCAAGAAAUCCCCUCUAUAUUUCAUGUCCUGGAUGGACUGUAAGGAGAGCCUAGAAAACAAGCAAACAUUCAGUCACCUGACGUGUCAGAAUCUGUAGCAGAAGCUCAGCUGCAAUGGUCAGUGCAGGGAUAUCACUCUGUAACCUUUGUGAAAGUUCAAUUGUAAAUUUUCUAUUCAAGUAAUUAAUAGGUGUAUAACACACAUAAACCAGAGAACUCGUUAGGCUUGGGGCAUGCAGUGACCUCUGAACCUGAUUGAUGCACAGAUGUGUCCAUCAUCUUUUUGGCCUUACAGUUUCUGCCCCUGGCUCUCUUCCCUUUUCCUGUGACUGUGGUCUUGGAGCAAUCUUCUAAGUUGUUACAGUGUGAUUUUUCUCUUCUAUAGCUCACAGACUUAAUCUUCAUUCUUUCCCUGUUCCACUGAUGGGUAGGAUCACUUAUUUCCUUUGCCCUGUAAUGUAGCUGAAGAUGGAAUAGACUUUCUAUGUUGCUUUGGCUA